GAAGCCCCUACCCCACAACCCUGCUCCAAGGCAGAGGUCCUGAGCUUCCCCUCCACCACCAUCUGUUCCUUGGGCUGUUUUUGUUGAAGAGUACAAUAGCUUUUUCCUCUCUUUUUAAAAAACAAACAACUUUGGGUCAUUAAUUACUUCCACCAGCACAUCAUCUGAAGUAAGCAGAGCAAUAUCCACACAUGCUUCCCCAUCUUCCCCUUCAACAAAUUAGUCCAUAAAAGAAUGCAUUCAAGUAGCAAGAUACUGGAGUUGAUCUGAUGGGUUGCAAGUGCAGAGGAAAGGAACUGUAAGCUGUACCACUCUAUUAAAAUGAACUUGCUGCCCCUUAAAAAAACCUAGUGGCGGCUUCCUUCAGCUUUUCAAAGGCUCUUUAACUGGCCCAGCCAAUCCAGGAUGCCUCCUGCAGAAAGGCUCGGUUCUUUGGUUGGCCAGGCCAGAGACAUCAGCUCAGCCUGUUGCUGGCAGAGAACAGAAUUCCUCCAACUCAAUGCAAGAUUGUAGAAACUUCUUUUUGAUGCAUUUGGAUUUAUGUUGUGGCCACUAAUCUGUCCUAAAUAGGGGGCUACUCUCCUAGGCACAGCACCUAUUUGACUAGAAGUUUCCCUCUGUAAAUGGGUGCUAGAUGUUUAUUUAGCUUUGUUAUAUUUUCUCUAUUUUUUGUCUGUACUGUGACUUUCAUUCCUUAAGGUAUGUCUACACUCUGGACCUUACAGCAGGACAGCUGUACCACUACAACUGUGCCAUUGUAAGGUCUCCCAUGUAGCCACUCUUUGCUGGCAGGAGAGCGCUCUCCUGCCAGCAUAAUUAAACCACCCCCAACAAGCAGUGUUAACUACGUCAGCAGGAGAGACUCUCCAGCUGACAUAACAUUGUCCACGCCAGCGCUUUUGCCAGUGAAACUUAUGUCAGUCGGGAAAGGGGUAUUUUGUUGGUCAGUGGCGUGAAAAAAGUUUUACCGACAAAAGUGGUAGUGUAGACAAAGCCUUAGUUCUCUUCUUAUAUUUCUCGGGUAAGGGGGGGCCAAAAUUUCAGAAGAGCCACGUUCCCAUUUAGUUACCAAGUGAGAACAAUGGGAGUUGCUGGAUGCUGAGCAAGAGCUACCCCUUUUAUUUAGACGCUUAAAUAAGAGCUGAGCACACUUCUGAAAAUCUGACCUGUGAUAGACAAACUUAUAGGCUUUCCUCACACUUUACUCCAUGGCUCUCUACUGAUUACAGUCCCCAAUAGUCCUUAAUCAGCAAGCAGUCCUAAACAAAUUAUCAUUCAUCUCACUGCUGUGUUAAGUCCUGCAAAUACCCCUA